CCUACGGGUGGCUGCAGUGAGGAAUAUUGGUCAAUGGCCGGAAGGCUGAACCAGCCAAGCCGCGUGAGGGAGGAAGGCGCAGAGCGUCGCAGACCUCUUUUGCCGGGGGACAAAAGGCCGGACUCGUCCGGUCCUGAGGGUACCCGGAGAAAAAGCAUCGGCUAACUCCGUGCCAGCAGCCGCGGUAAUACGGAGGAUGCGAGGGUUAUCCGGAUUCAUUGGGUUUAAAGGGUGCGCAGGCGGGCCUUUAAGCCGGCGGUGAAAUCGCGGGGCUCAACCCCGUACUGCCGUUGAAACUGCAUCCCUUGAGUGCGCGAGAAGUAUGCGGAAUGCGUGGUGUAGCGGUGAAAUGCAUAGAUAUCACGCAGAACUCCGAUUGCGAAGGCAGCAUACCGGCGCGCAACUGACGCUCAUGCACGAAAGCGUGGGUAUCGAACAGGAUUAGAUACCCUUGUAGUC
rnacentral:rRNA from 1 species